CUUAGAAGAAGGGAUUUCCUUAGCACUCUUGAGAUUGUAUGUGAUUCUAGGAAGCAGCCCUACUUAACGGAUUAUUUUCUGUUAACAGAAUACUUAUAUCUUUCCUUCAAGGAGCUUCACAGAAGUUGAAAAUUUGGGAUGAGAUUAAGCCAGCUCCUCUCAUCUGUUUCCUUCCUUCAAGCUGGAGAGCACUGAGACACCUUCAUUUGCUUUGCCUGUGGGCAGCGAACAGUCCGUGAGAACCGCAUGGCACACAGCAAGGCAUGUGGUGGACAAAAGCCAAGACAAUGGAAGUCACUGGAGGAAUUCAUUUCAGCGCCGAUCUCAAAGUCAGCCAGUUUGUUGGUCUACAGAGAAGUGAAGCUGACCCCCAGUCUGAAUUUCAUCACAAGACACAUUUAAUCACAGCUAGUGAUGCACACACAUAGCCACAAUCACACAAUUCACACUCCUGUGCCAUAACAAUUAUAGUUCAACCAAGUCAGCCCUGUGAAUGAGUGGAGACAUUUUUCCAAGCCCAUUGGAGACUGAAGAACCAGAGAUUGGGAAUCUGGAGCUUCGUCCUCCCGGACUCACCAGCCCAAAUGGACCCCUUCCAACAUUGAGGGUGUAGCAUGUCAUCUCUGGGCUAAACAGAACCACUUGGUGCCCAGGAAAGACAAAAACCGGCCUUGGAUUUAGCUCAGUGCAAAGGCUGUUGGUUCCAUCCCAGUACUGCAAGAAAACGAAACAAAAAAUGACCCCCCCAACUAACCAGCCAUUCACAGGACCACACAUAUGUGAGUGUACGUGCACACAUACACUGCAGAGAGGUAGGGCAAGGAAGCGAGGGAGAGAGAAGAGAAUGGCCGCUUCUUAAGCUCCCUUCCUAAAUAU
rnacentral:lncRNA from 1 species